GCCGAUGUAGCUCAGUUGGUCAGAGCAGCUGAUUUGUAAUCAGCAGGUCGUGGGUUCGAAUCCCUCUAUCGGCUC
rnacentral:tRNA from 3 species